GCGCCUGUAGCUCAGCUGGAUAGAGCGUUUCCCUCCGAAGGAAAAGGCCGUGCGUUCAAAUCGCAUCAGGCGUA
rnacentral:tRNA from 1 species